CCACGCCCAAUAACACGCCCCGAAAAUAAACUAACAUGUGCAUUCACUCCACAGAAACACAACAUGGAAAAUCAGCAAACAAAAAUACCGGCCCUGAUGACGCUGCGACUGACGAGACCGACGACAACGACGACACAAACAGAAAAAACACCACUAUUACAAACACCAGGACAGGCCCCACACCCACACAAAUACGGACGCGACGGCAUACACCAGACGGAGACCCGACGAACCCUACUACCGACACCCCCCACAUACAGAAAGCCACACAGAGACACUCACAAACACACACAA